rnacentral:rRNA from 1 species
UUUGUGAAGAGUUUGAUCCUGGCUCAGGACUAACGCUGGCGGCGUGCCUAACACAUGCAAGUCGAACGUGCUUAGGUUUGGUAGCAAUAUUGAUUCUAAGAAAGUGGCGAACGGGUGAGUAACACGUAGGUGAUCUACCUUGGAGAAAUGUUAAUCGCCCGAAGAUUUUCGUAAAAUGAAAGCUCGUCGUCAGGAUGAAUAAAUUCAUUUGGAGAACGGCCAACUAAUUCGGUGGGUUCA